UACCAGCACCCCGAGUGGUCGGGACGAUUAUUGGGCGUAAAGAGCUCGUAGGCGGUCUGUCGCGUCGGAUGUGAAAAUCCAGGGCUCAACCCUGGACCUGCAUUCGAUACGGGCAGACUAGAGUUCGGUAGGGGAGACUGGAAUUCCUGGUGUAGCGGUGAAAUGCGCAGAUAUCAGGAGGAACACCGGUGGCGAAGGCGGGUCUCUGGGCCGAAACUGACGCUGAGGAGCGAAAGCGUGGGGAGCAAACAGG
rnacentral:rRNA from 1 species